rnacentral:lncRNA from 1 species
CACUUAGAAGACAUAUACAAUUAAAACAAGAUGAUCAGCAAGGUAGUGGGUACCAUGUGCUGAAGAGAGAAUUUCAUGUAAUUACAAUUGAUUAUGUAACUGCUUCUUGUCACAUUGGUCUACAUAACUGGAGUCAAGUUUUCUUGAAGUGAGAAAUUUUUCAUCUACUGGUAUGUGUUGUUCAAGGAACAUCUGACUGGAGGAGCUGUUGAGACCUGCUGCUGCAUCAUCACGGCUGCAGCACAACUAAUUGCACCACUCUUGUGCCUAUAAUCUUUCCUACAUGAGCUGGUUUCCUAUUUGCCCUUCUGUGUCAUCAUCCAGCCUGGGAAUGCCAGAGAAACGAGAACCGCUAGCAACAUUCAACAGGCAUCUUAGAAAGACGGAUUCAUUUGUUCUCACUCACCACCUUCAACGGAGGAAAGUGAAAACCUCCAAGUUAUUGGAAAACAAAAGAACCAAACAAAAUAACAGCGAGGAGCAAAUGGUUACGGGACCUAAGGUCACACAGCAAAUCUAGGACGGUGGACUGAGAAUGGAACUUUCAAAAAGUUGAAAUAUCUCCCAAAUGCUCAGUUCUGAACAAACAGAAAAACAGCAGGAGGAUAAAAAAACAAGGCUGAAUUUAAGUCACACAGAUCUCAGCAAGAAGCAAAAAUAAACUCUCUAAAUGAUGUUCCUUUUCCACAGCUCCCAGAGGCAGGUUUGGUAAAAAAAGUAAUUUGAAAACAGACAUUCAUCCUUCACCCCAGCCAGCCCUCCACCCCAGCCC